rnacentral:lncRNA from 1 species
CCCAGUUACAACUUCUACUCACCUCUUGAGAGGCUGCCGUGUCCUGCCUUCUUGGAGCUGCCAAUCUUGAAAGGACUUAGAUUUGAAACGUUUAAUGAAGGAGUUGGGUGUCUGCACUGGGUACAUGAUAAGGCAAUUGUUUUGGCAUUAUGCGGAUGAAACAUUUACACCUGAUAUAGUCAGGACUGUUUAAUCUAUGUUUUUGCACUGUACGCCACCAACUCUGUUGCAUUGAAUUCAGUUCAGAGGGCAAGGGAUUCUUCAAAAGCUGAACCAUUCAUAGCUUCAGAGACUCUUAAACUGAAGACAUUUGAUGAAGCAUAAAAUAAUGGAAAUGUAUACAGUGGUCUAAUCUAUAGAUCAAAACAUCAGUGGUCAAACUAAAAACCAUACAGAAUAUGUGUGGGGUGCAGAACCAUGAGA